GUGGGGAAUAUUGCACAAUGGGCGGAAGCCUGAUGCAGCAACGCCGCGUGCGGGAUGACGGCCUUCGGGUUGUAAACCGCUUUCAGCAGGGACGAAGCGUGAGUGACGGUACCUGCAGAAGAAGCACCGGCUAACUACGUGCCAGCAGCCGCGGUGAUACGUAGGGUGCGAGCGUUGUCCGGAUUUAUUGGGCGUAAAGAGCUUGUAGGCGGUUGGUUGCGUCGAAAGUACAAACUCAGGGCUUAACUCUGAGCCUGCUGUCGAUACGGGCUGACUGGAGGAAGGUAGGGGAGAAUGGAAUUCCCGGUGGAGCGGUGGAAUGCGCAGAGAUCGGGAGGAACACCAGUGGCGAAGGCGGUUCUCUGGACCUUUCCUGACGCUGAGAAGCGAAAGCGUGGGGAGCAAACAGGAUUAGAUACCCUUGUAGUCC
rnacentral:rRNA from 1 species